CUGAUUUUUAUAGUUCGUUCUUAUGUUGUACUGUUAUACCACUGUCCCAGGUUAGGGGGAGGGUUGGGAUCCCGCUAACAUGUUAAACCCCGCCACAUUAUUUAUGUAUGUGCCUGUCCCAAGUCAGGAGCCUGUAAUUCAGUGGUUGUCGUUUGUUUAUGUGUUACAUAUUUGUUUUUCGUUAAUUUUCUUUACAUAAAUAAGGCCGUUAGUUUUCUCGUUUGAAUUGUUUUACAUUGUCUUAUCGGGGCCUUUUAUAGCUGACUAUGCGGUAUUGGCUUUGCUCAUUGUUGAAGGCCGUACGGUGACGUAUAGUUGUUAAUGUCUGUGUCAUUUUGGUCUUUUGUGGAUAGUUGUCUCAUUGGCAAUCAUACCACAUCUUCUUUUUAUAUUAA
rnacentral:lncRNA from 1 species